UAGGGAAUCUUCGGCAAUGGGGGGAACCCUGACCGAGCAACGCCGCGUGAGUGAAGAAGGUUUUCGGAUCGUAAAGCUCUGUUGUUAAGGAAGAACGAGUGUGAGAAUGGAAAGUUCAUGCUGUGACGGUACUUAACCAGAAAGGGACGGCUAACUACGUGCCAGGAGCCGCGGUAAUACGUAGGUCCCGAGCGUUGUCCGGAUUUAUUGGGCGUAAAGCGAGCGCAGGCGGUUAGAAAAGUCUGAAGUGAAAGGCAGUGGCUCAACCAUUGUAGGCUUUGGAAACUGUUUAACUUGAGUGCAGAAGGGGAGAGUGGAAUUCCAUGUGUAGCGGUGAAAUGCGUAGAUAUAUGGAGGAACACCGGUGGCGAAAGCGGCUCUCUGGUCUGUAACUGACGCUGAGGCUCGAAAGCGUGGGGAGCGAACAGG
rnacentral:rRNA from 1 species